rnacentral:rRNA from 1 species
GACGAACGCUGGCGGCGUGCUUAACACAUGCAAGUCGAACGAUGAAGCCCAGCUUGCUGGGUGGAUUAGUGGCGAACGGGUGAGUAACACGUGGGCAACCUGCCCCAAACUCUGGGAUAACUCCUCGAAAGAGGUGCUAAUACCGGAUACGAACUAGACAGACAUCUGUACUAGUUGGAAAGUUUUUCGGUUUGGGAUGGGCCAGCGGCCUAUCAGCUUGUUGGUGAGGUAACGGCUCACCAAGGCUACGACGGGUAACCGGCCUGAGAGGGCGACCGGUCACACUGGGACUGAGACACGGCCCAGACUCCUACGGGAGGCAGCAGUGGGGAAUAUUGCGCAAUGGGCGAAAGCCUGACGCAGCGACGCCGCGUGAGGGAUGAAGGUCUUCGGAUCGUAAACCUCUUUCAGUAGGGACGAAGCGAAAGUGACGGUACCUAAAGAAGAAGCACCGGCUAACUACGUGCCAGCAGCCGCCGUAA